GUGUCAGCAGCCGCGGUAAUACGUAGGGGGCGAGCGUUGUCCGGAAUUAUUGGGCGUAAAGAGCGUGUAGGCGGUUCGGUAAGUCUGCCGUGAAAACCUGGGGCUCAACCCCGGGCGUGCGGUGGAUACUGCCGGGCUAGAGGGUGGUAGAGGCGAGUGGAAUUCCCGGUGUAGCGGUGAAAUGCGCAGAUAUCGGGAGGAACACCAGUAGCGAAGGCGGCUCGCUGGGCCAUUCCUGACGCUGAGACGCGAAAGCUAGGGGAGCGAACAGGAUUAGAAACCCCCGUAGUCC
rnacentral:rRNA from 1 species